UUGCGGGUGAAUAGCCCGUUGGAGUGACGGUACCUUCAGAAGAAGCCCCGGCUAACUACGUGCCAGCAGCCGCGGUAAUACGUAGGGGGCAAGCGUUGUCCGGAAUCAUUGGGCGUAAAGCGCGUGUAGGCGGCUCGAUAAGUCUGCUGUGAAAGUCCAGGGCUCAACCCUGGGAUGCCGGUGGAUACUGCCGAGCUCGAGUCCGGAAGAGGCGAGUGGAAUUCCUGGUGUAGCGGUGAAAUGCGCAGAUAUCAGGAGGAACACCAAUGGCGAAGGCAGCUCGCUGGGACGUGACUGACGCUGAGACGCGAAAGCGUGGGGAGCAAACAGGAUUAGAUACCCUGGUAGUCCACGCCGUAAACGAUGGGCACUAGGUGUAGGGGGUGUCGACUCCUCCUGUGCCGAAGCUAACGCAUUAAGUGCCCCGCCUGGGGAGUACGGCCGCAAGGCUAAAACUCAAAGGAAUUGACGG
rnacentral:rRNA from 1 species